rnacentral:rRNA from 1 species
CAGCAGCCGCGGUAACACGAAGGGGGCUAGCGUUGUUCGGAUUUACUGGGCGUAAAGCGCACGUAGGCGGACUUUUAAGUCAGGGGUGAAAUCCCGGGGCUCAACCCCGGAACUGCCUUUGAUACUGGAAGUCUUGAGUAUGGUAGAGGUGAGUGGAAUUCCGAGUGUAGAGGUGAAAUUCGUAGAUAUUCGGAGGAACACCAGUGGCGAAGGCGGCUUACUGGACCAUUACUGACGCUGAGGUGCGAAAGCGUGGGGAGCAAACAGGAUUAGAUACCCGCGUAGUCCCUGUCUCUUAUAC